rnacentral:rRNA from 1 species
GUGGGGAAUUUUGGACAAUGGGCGCAAGCCUGAUCCAGCAAUGCCGCGUGCAGGAAGAAGGCCUUCGGGUUGUAAACUGCUUUUGUACGGAACGAAACGGUCCUGGCUAAUAUCCGGGGCUAAUGACGGUACCGUAAGAAUAAGCACCGGCUAACUACGUGCCAGCAGCCGCGGUAAUACGUAGGGUGCAAGCGUUAAUCGGAAUUACUGGGCGUAAAGCGUGCGCAGGCGGUUUUGUAAGACAGGCGUGAAAUCCCCGGGCUCAACCUGGGAAUUGCGCUUGUGACUGCAAGGCUGGAGUGCGGCAGAGGGGGAUGGAAUUCCGCGUGUAGCAGUGAAAUGCGUAGAUAUGCGGAGGAACACCGAUGGCGAAGGCAAUCCCCUGGGCCUGCACUGACGCUCAUGCACGAAAGCGUGGGGAGCAAACAGGAUUAGAUACCCGUGUAGUCC